GUAGAUGUGAAGUACUUUUCUCAGGAUCAUCUAGUUCGUGAGAAGCAAAGGUGGAUCUGCUGUUAAAAUGUUUACCAACUUCUCCAAAAAAUAAAAGAAUGAAUGAAAUACUGCUUCCAUAUAGAUCUAAGUGGGAGAAGAAGUUUGAACUACUUUAGAAUGCUAUACAGAAGGCCCUGUAAUUGAACACAGUGAGCGGUUAUAACCUCCUUCCAAAACUGGAUAUCAGAUUAGUCCUUAUGCU